ensembl:lncRNA
CUGAAACGCCUUCCUGUUUCACUGAAAUGCCUUCCUGUUCAACUGAAACGCCUUCCUGUUCAACUGAAAUGCCUUGGUUUUUCAGUAGUGUGUGUGAGAGCGUUUCAGUAGUGUGUGUGAGAGGUAAAAUUUCAGUAGUGUGUGUGAGAGCAUUUCAGUAGUGUGUGUGAGAGGUAAAAUUUCAGUAGUGUGUGUGAGAGCGUUUCAGUUGUGUGUGUGAGAGCGUUUCAGUUGUGUGUGUGAGAGCGUUUCAGUAGUGUGUGUGAGAGCGUUUCAGUAGUUAGUGUGUGUGAGAGCGUUUCAGUUGUGUGUGUGAGAGCGUUUCAGUUGUGUGUGUGAGAGCGUUUCAGUAGUGUGUGUGAGAGCGUUUCAGUAGUGUGUGUGAGAGGUAAAAUUUCAGUAGUGUGUGUGAGAGCGUUUCAGUAGUGUGUGUGAGAGCGUUUCAGUAGUGUGUGUGAGAG